UUUCUGCCAUAGUUGUCAUGCUGAUGUUUGUGCUGUUUAAUCUGGCCCUAAACACUUUGUUUACAGGGGGGGUGGCUUGAGGCCACUACUUUCUAGUGGUGACUUUAGGUCACAGUGCUCAACGAUUUCUACUACAAUCCACAAGCUAGUCAGUCCAUCCCUCAUUACCCCUUUUUGUAUUUACAUAACAGCCAAAAUCACUAGCAGACAAAAGUUGGUAAAAAAAUUGCUGCUCUCUCAUCUCAGUGUGUGUGGCUUGAUGAUACCUGGACUUAAUGACUUAUACUUGGUUGCUUGCCUGUACUAAUUUUAAUUUGUGUAUAAUUGAUGCCUUAUAUUGGAACAAUGGAGUAAUAAUCUUAUAUCUCUUUUUCAAGCUUGUGUUACACGUGUUACACAUGCAUAUGUAUUUUAAAUAUCACUGUCAAACUUGUUCUAAAUUUGGAUAUAUGGAAUUGUUUAUAUCUUGAAACUUGUAUUGAGCUGCAUAAUUAAUUUUUCAAGUAAAUUAUGCUUGUUAUGUCGAGGUACAUGCUAAUUGACAUUUGAAUUGAGUACGGUCUCUAUGAUAUGUGUUCUGUGCUUUCUUUUUUGAUUAAGUACAAAUGAAUUCUAUAACUGGAAAUCAGAACUAAAAUUCAAAUCUGAAAUCAGUUAUGGAUUUCAGUUUUGAUUUCAACUCUGAACAUCAGAAAUGAAUUCUAGAACUGAAAUCAGAACUGAAAUUCAAAUCUGAAUUCAGUUCUGGCAUUCAGUUUUGAUUUCAGUUCUAGAAUAUCAGAACUGAAUUCUAGACCUGAAAUCAGAAAUGAAAUUCAAAUCUGAAUUCAGUUUUGGAAUUCAGUUUUGAAUUCAGGUCUGAACAUCAGAAAUGAAUUGCAGCUUGUGUGUGUGUAUUUGCAAAAUUUUAUCUGCUUCUCUGUUAGAACAUAUUGUUCACUUAACUGAUUAUUUCUUUUAACUUAAUUUUGUUAUUUUAUUUAGAUGCCAAGGGUAAUACUACAUUAGUAAGUGGUAUUAUUCUGCCAAUUGACGUAUGGAGUAAUAACGGCGUCCAGUACUAUGUCGAAUUCAAUGAUUUAUGCCAGCCAAUUAGGAAGGGUGGACAUAUUUUGGUUAAAUUCAUUAGUAUGAUUGCGAAGAUGGAGUCACAUUGUCCAGUUGGGGAAAAAGAUUGGAAAGCAAUCGACAAGCAUUUUAAAGGGAAAAUAUAAUUAAAGACAUAAGAGACCGUUUUGUGAUUCCUCCUGGUGUGGAAUAUGACAACCAAGCUCUCAAGCGUGCCAAUAAAUGUUGGAGGCAGUUCAAAUAUUCUCUGAAAAUGGUUCAUUACAAGCCACUAGAGAAGAAAUUGGAUGAUAUGUGUAAUAAUGUGCCACAUGGAAUUACCAGUAGUAACUGGGUUAAGUUGGUAAAAUAUUGGGAUUCGGAUUAUGGGAAAACUAUGUCAGCAUGCGGUAAAAAGGCACGAGCUUGUCAAAAUCAGAUUCAUACAUCUGGCUCUAAAAGUUUUGCAAACCAACAAGCUGAUUAUGAGGAUGAACAUGGAGAAAAAAUGAGCUUGUUAGCGCUGUGGAUUAAAACCCAUGCGGGUAAAGACGAAAAAUUUCUUCCUGAACAGUCACUCAAGAUUUUGUGGAUGAUGUUAAAGCUAAGGUUGAAGAGUUGAGGAUGGUGCACCCUAAGAUGUCUGAACAAGAGCUCGAAGAUGAAGCAUUUCAGCAAACUAUGUAUGGCAAUGAGAUUCCCGAUCGUCCGGUGGGUUACGAACUAGGGGUUAAAAAGGGGGACAUAUUCGGAGUACGUGGUGUGUUAAGGAAGGAAGGCUAUGGAAAAGUUCAAAAGAGGACUAUUGUGAUGGAUAGUGUUAAAGAAGAAGUGAAUGCUUUGCACAAGAAAAAUGAUACACUAUCUCAAGAAAAUGAAAAGCUGAAAGACGAGGUCGGACACAACAAUCUUCUUCUUAAAGCGCUUGUUGGACAAUUUUCUCAGAUUGUAGGUGCAGUUCGUCAAGGGAAUGCAUCUCCGGGUCUUCUAGACAAAGCAUCUGAAUUCUUAGGAAAGGCAAAACAUCAGAUUGGAAAAGGCAAUGUAGGUGCAACAAAAGAAUAGGCCGGGACACUUGAGCAUCAACAAGCGACUAUAUCAAUCAAUGUGGCCAUCAUCUAUCUAUUUUGGUUUUUAGUCUUAUAUAUAUUAGUGAUGUAUUUAUUUAGGGACAAGCUACAUACUAUAAUAUGUGACCAUUUUUUUAAUGAUUGUACUGUGUUGAUGUUUUCUUUUCUAAAUUUGGUAAUUAACUACG